AACGAACGCUGGCGGCAUGCCUAACACAUGCAAGUCGAACGAGACCUUCGGGUCUAGUGGCGCACGGGUGCGUAACGCGUGGGAACCUGCCCUUAGGUUCGGAAUAACUCCCCGAAAGGGGUGCUAAUACCGGAUAAUGUCUUCGGACCAAAGAUUUAUCGCCUUUGGAUGGGCCCGCGUUGGAUUAGCUAGUUGGUAGGGUAAAAGCCUACCAAGGCGACGAUCCAUAGCUGGUCUGAGAGGAUGAUCAGCCACACUGGGACUGAGACACGGCCCAGACUCCUCCGGGAGGCAGCAGUGGGGAAUAUUGGACAAGGGGCGAAAGCCUGAUCCAGCAAUGCCGCGUGAGUGAUGAAGGCCUUAGGGUUGUAAAGCUCUUUUACCCGGGAUGAUAAUGACGGUACCGGGAGAAUAAGCCCCGGCUACCUCCGU
rnacentral:rRNA from 1 species